UUCAGUUAUUUUUGAAAACUAGAAAAUACCAACUUUUUCUAAUAAAUAAUAUCCCUUUACUCAAUAACAUAAAAUCUAAAAUUAAUAAAAAUCGAAAGGGAGUUUACAACAAUAGAUAUAAACAUUUCAGAAAAGUUUCAUGAGAACUGCUGAAAACAUUUUUGUGUUAAUGUCUGAAAACUGGAAAAUCCCCCCUUUUUAAUUAAUAAAACCCGUUAACUCGGAAACGUAAAAUCUAAAAUUUAUAAAAAUUGAAAGUGACCUCAUGUUAAUAGAUAUAAACAAUUCACCAAAAUUCCUUGCUUUGUGAAAGCAUUUUUGAGAUAUUAUCAGAAAAAUGAAAAAAAACACCAAUUUUAUUGAAUAAAAACCA
rnacentral:lncRNA from 1 species